rnacentral:rRNA from 1 species
GAUGAACGCUGGCGGCGUGCCUAAUACAUGCAAGUCGAACGAGGUGCCUUUGUAGCAAUACGAAGGUAUCCUAGUGGCGAACGGGUGAGUAACGCGUUGGUGACCUACCCCAAAGUGUGGGAUAACAGAUCGAAAGAUCUGCUAAUACCGCAUGUGGUCUUCGGAUUUAGAAACUGAUGACUAAAGGAGCAAUUCGCUUUGGGAGGGACCUGCGUCCCAUCAGCUAGUUGGUGAGGUAAUGGCUCACCAAGGCUACGACGGGUAGGGGACCUGAGAGGGUGGCCCCCCACAAUGGAACUGAAACACGGUCCAUACACCUACGGGUGGCAGCAGUAGGGAAUAUUGCACAAUGGGCGAAAGCCUGAUCGCAGCAACGCCGCGUGUGCGAUGAAGGCCUUCGGUCGUAAAGCACUUUCUGAGGGAUGAGCAAGGACAGUACCUCAGGAAUAAGUACUCGGCUAACUACGUGCCAGCAGCCGCGGUAAU